ensembl:lncRNA
CUAGGAUCAAGUCUGAGCAAGUCCAGAGAGCACAAGUAAACUGCACAAAGAGUUUGGCAGGGAUAAUUGAUGCUAAUCAUUAUGAGGAGAGAGGGCUGUGCUACAUAAUGAGGACAUAAAGGAAUAUAUCUGGCACCCGGCUGAUCUACUGGGGCAUCUCUUGGUACUCUUAUACCCAGCUGAACUAUAAGUAUAGCAACCAUGGCCUGGUAAGGAUCUGGUGACCAAGUGUCAAGACUGGACACCUUAGAAAUGAGGGUGUGAAUGUGUAUCAAAUUAUCACAUUGUACACCUUGAACUUAUUAAUGCACAGUAUUAUAUGUCAAAUAUAUCUCAAUGAAGCUGAAGGGCAAAAGAAAUUAGGAAGUGGGUCAAUUUACCAGGGUCAUGUUUAAGUGACAGCAAGUGCCUAAGUAUUUUCCCUGACCUGGAGAAGUUCUGCCUCCAAGAAAACUCAGCCCAUAGUAUUGGAUUCCCUUUGGCCCACUCCAGUAUUCUUGCCUGUAGAAUCCCAUGGACAGAGGAGCCUGGCAGGCUACAGUCCAUGGGGUUGCAAGAGUUGGAUACAACCUAGCGACUAAACCACCACUUCUAUUUUUCAUUUGUCUGACUAGAGGUGAUUUCUCAGCUCUGUGCUUCUACGACUCUUCAACUGCUGCCUGCUGAAGGAAGAACACCAGACCUGGAGUCUGAAGACCAAGGUUGAAAUCAAUUUCUUCAUCUGAAAAAUGGCGUAAUAAUGCUUGUUGCAGGGUCAUUCCUAAUUUGUUCAUCAAGUACUUGGAGAAAUAUGCUCUGAGACUUCCUGCACGUUUGUGUGCGUCGGUAUGCACAUGUUGUACAUACAUGAUGAGAAGCAAUGCUGUUGCUCCAGCAUGAAGGGGUGUGUCCUGAAGACAAAUAUAAAGAAUAAAGAUAGGUAGCAUUUAUUGAGUGG